rnacentral:sRNA from 1 species
GUCGGGUGCGGUGGUGCAUGCCUGUAAUCCCAGAGCCUUGGGAGGCUGAGGCAGGAAGAUUGUGAGUUCAAAGCCAGACUCAGCAACUUAGUGAGGCCCUAAGCAACCCAGCAAGACCCUGUCUCUA